UACGUAGGGACCAAGCGUUGUCCGGAAUCAUUGGGCGUAAAGAGCGUGUAGGCGGCCUGUUAAGUCUUGCGUGAAAUCUCGGGGCUCAACCCCGAGCGGUCGUGAGAAACUGGCAGGCUAGAGUGCGGGAGAGGAGAGUGGAAUUCCUGGUGUAGCAGUGAAAAUGCGUAGAGAUCGGGAGGAACAUCUGUGGCGAAGGCGGCCAUCUGGACCAGCACUGACACUGAGGCACGAAAGCGUGGGGAGCAAACAGG
rnacentral:rRNA from 1 species